CCAACGGCUCUUUUAAGAGCCACCUACAUAAACCUUAAGACAAAU
rfam:Poecilia formosa, whole genome shotgun sequence.